rnacentral:rRNA from 1 species
CCUACGGGAGGCAGCAGUGAGGAAUAUUGGUCAAUGGACGCGAGUCUGAACCAGCCAAGUAGCGUGCAGGAUGACUGCCCUAUGGGUUGUAAACUUCUUUUAUAUGGGAAUAAAAUGGUCCACGUGUGGCCCUUUGUGUGUACCCUAUGAAUAAGGAUCGGCUAACUCCGUGCCAGCAGCCGCGGUAAUACGGAGGAUCCGGGCGUUAUCCGGAUUUAUUUGGUUUAAAGGGUGCGCAUGUGGGUUGUUAAGUCAGUUGUGAAAGUUUGCGGGUCAACCGUAAAAGUGCAGUUGAAACGGGCAGUCUUGAGUACAGUAGGGGUGGGCGGAAUUCGUGGUGUAGCGGUGAAAUGCUUAGAUAUCACGAAGAACUCCGAUUGCGAAGGCAGCUCACUGGAGUGCAACUGACGCUGAGGCUCGAAAGUGUGGGUAUCAAACAGGAUUAGAUACCCUGGUAGUC